CAUCAAUGAUUCACUGUUGAGAAGAUUACUUGUGUUUGGUUCUUGUGGGGUUAGAGGAAGAAUUUGGAUCCAGAGAAAUUGCAUGCUUGUUGCAGGAAGAACAUGAUCAAGUUGCGAGUCUUGAUUCUCAACCUCAGCUGCUGGUGGUGAUCUUGAUCCUUCCAUGACAGAACUCUCUGCGGUUUGAAGAUAGGAAUAGUUUUAAUAAAGAAACAAAGCGACCUAAAACAUUGUCCUAACUCCUGCGAACCAAGAAAGCAGAAAUCCUGAUGAAGUGAGGAAAUCACUUCCAACGGUCUGACGACUCAGCUUCAUCACUGAUGGCCUGCUUCACAAUUCAAGUCUCUCCCUGGAAUAGGCCUUUCAG
rnacentral:misc_RNA from 1 species